GCCGGCGUGGUGCAAUUAGUAGCACGCCCACUCCCCCAUAACAGAAAGACCUGCGGGCCCCUACGCCACAAAGAUCGUGGGAGAUUGAGGUUCAAGUCCUCGCGUUGGUA